CGACAGCGUCCCGGACCCCACAUCGGUACCCCUAUCUCCUGUCGGGUGAUCCGUCGUGCGGGCGACAGCGUCCGGCUUAAUACGAUGAUGUAUUCAUGCUUUCGAAGAGGCGCCGAGUGGGGCGGAGGGCGACACGUGCGACGCAGCGAUUAAAGUUUUGAAAAAUAGGGGAGGAGAGAGAGAGAGAGAGAGGAGGGAGGGCGAGGGCAUAACCCUAGAAUUGGAUCGAAGGGAUCGGGAGACGAAGAUGAAGGCGGAGGAGGCAGGCGUUCCUCGUUCCUCUGGUUCCUGUAUCUCCGAUUCGGUCGAGGAUCUUCUUCUCCUUGUCUUCUUGAUCGCUUUGUUUUCUGGUGGUUGUGGUUGAUCCGAGGGUCUGUGGCGUCGUCCGGGUGAUUGGGGUUGACAGAAGAGAGUGAGCACGCAGCGGCGAUCGCAUCGUCGGGGUGCCGUCGCUGUUGCGUGCUCACUGCUCUCUCUGUCAUCCCGAUCUCCCCGGAUUGUUUUCUGCGUCUGAUGAUGGUGAUUACGAUCGCGGUGGUGGUUUGGUGUUGGAGCGGUAAGAAGAGUGGCGACAGGGUUUUCGUUUCCUCUGAUCGGCUUCUGCACACGCUGUCUUUCUCUUCAUUUUAUGUCGGCCAUCUGCUGCUGCUUCUAUCCAUUCGUCUCUGAGACGUCUCGUCUCGACUGGGUUUUCCGAGGCAGACAAAAGACGAGUGGCGUACCGUCCAUCAUGUCACGGUAGUCGUGUGCUUCCUUCUCUAUUUCUUUCUAAUUUUGGCGUCUUUGUUUUGCUUGAUACGGAUGGGAUGGAGUGAAUAGGACGAAGAAAUCAACAAAGAAAGAGAGAUGGGUUUGAGAGCGGAAGCGUGGCUUUUGAGACGACGAUUGUUUUCCCUCGGGGAAUGGGAUCAGAUGCGGGCGAGGAUACACGUCUCCUCGCUAACUUCAUCAUCUGUGCGGAUUCAACGGAAAUCACUGUUGACUGGUCUCAUUUUGUCUCCAUUUCUAGUCCCAUUUCUUCCUUCCUUUUCUUUCUCGUCAAGAUCCAUGUCCCAAACCAUCAAACAACCAUUGGGAUGUUGAUCUUGGGAGGCAUUUCUUGGUUCGUCGUCUUGAUCUUUCUUUUUAUGAAGUCAUUGUUUCUUCUGCCGUGUUUCUCGUAUUCUAUAUCUGAAGACGGAUGUGGGAUCGAUCUUUGGAGCUCUCUUAAAGCUCUUUCGCUGAUAGAUUUAUCCUCUUUGUCUUGUUUCUUGAUUCUAUCUUUGCGGCCGUAUGAUGGACCGGUCUUUGGGGCUCUCAAAAAUGCAUCCAUUUUAUAGAUCUUUCUCGAUUUAGUUUUAUCUAACUUUGCUUGUUGAUAUCAUUUUUCUUGAUUAUUUCAAGUGUUUCAGCUUCUCAUUUAUCGGUGGAUCCAAUGGUAUUUCUCUCGCUCGUCGCUAGAUCUGCCCCUCCUGUCUUUUUGAUCCUUUAUGUUCUUGCAUACGUGUGGUCAAGUGUUAUCACAUCACGCACGCAUCAAAGAGACCAGUGGGUUUGUCCUCCUUUAUCUGUUGGAAGUCAAGUAUCAAAGUUGAGGAAGGAGAUCUAUCUGCUUUAGUCUCGUCAGAUGCUUCAGUUACAACUACUUGGUGUCGAAAAAGUCUUUGAGUACAUGAGGUAACGAGAGAGCUUCUAAUGGUUUUCUUCUCAGUCGUGUUUUCCACCCAAGUCUUUGAUAUAUCUGACUUGAUGUAUGUUAGAUUAGCAGCAGGCCUUGCUAGGGGAAUGGACUUGAGGAAGAGUGGCAAUUCAUAAAGUUAGCAUCUUUUCCCCCUUAAUCUUAGCCCGAAAGCUUUUUGACAUCUGAAUUAUUAGGAAUCACAGGCAGAUUGAUAUUAGGUCUCGUUAAUUUGUGUUUGCUCUCCUAGUGGUAGUGGAGGUGGUGAUGGUAGGGAAAUAAAAUGUCCUGUUUGACAACAUUGUGUAAUUUGCUAACAUAUAACCUUGCAGAAGAAGAAUUACUAGGUUUAUGUCUUUUUAAUCUAUGAAACACUAUCUAGCAAUAUAAAAUUUAGUUGUUGUGAUGUCCAUAAUUUUGUAAGAGGAUCCUAGACACAAGUUAAAUCAUAUGAAUUUGAGUUUAAAAGUUAUCACAGAUUAUUUUCUCUCUCUCUCUCUCUCUCUCUUUUUAAAACCCUGAUAAUUCAUCUGACUAUUAGCUUAACUAGACUUUUUCACCAUAGAAAAUGCAGGAGGAGCGGAAUCAUAGAACUUACCAUGGUGGAUUUAUGACAACAAAUUGCUAAGGUAAAUUUCAGUGCUUCUAAAUAAUUUUUUUGUCAUGGGUAAGUGCUUUAACAGUAGAACACAGCAUGAUGCUUCUUAUGAUCAGGAUGUAAAACAUGAUUGUUCUUGUAAGAAUAUUGCAACUUUUACCAUACAUAAUCUGGCACCUGGACCCAAAUGAUUUAUGUCA